GAAGGCUGAAGCGGGGAGGAGAGACUGGAUCCAGCAAACGCGCUCAGGAGUUCAUUGACUGGCGGCACAGAGCAUCACCGACCCAGGAGACGCUAUGGUAGGCUGGAACUCAGCUCAAAUGCAGUCGCGUGAGUGGACACAAGGGAAGAGAGCAGGAGGAAUUUGUAUCCAGUAAGCCUUGAAGCUAGAGUAUUUAGUAGCUUCUCUGAGCUCUCUGAAGGCUGUGAAGACUUCAAUGGCAUCAGGUAACCGCAGUUUAACUGGAUGCCUCUGAAAAGAGAGAUCUACCAAAGCUCCUCUCCUGAUCAGGGCUCUGGCCCAGGGGACAGAUGGCAGCCUUCCAUCAUUGGCCUUCAGAGCUCUGCAGAAAGCCUAGAAAGGAAGAUCCCUCCUCAGUAACAGCAAAGAUGCCAACACGGCUAGUGUCCUGCCCUUCAUCUCUACUCCUCAGCUUGCUCCCAGGUCACCCAGAUAAUAUCU